rnacentral:rRNA from 1 species
ACGGCUCAGUAACACGUGGAUAAUCUGCCCUUAGGUGGAGGAUAAUCUCGGGAAACUGAGGAUAAUACUCCAUAGAUCUAGGAUGCUGGAAUGCAUCUAGAUUGAAAGCUCCGGCGCCUAAGGAUGAGUCUGCGGACUAUCAGGUUGUAGUCAGGGUAAAGACCUGACUAGCCUACGACGGAUACGGGUUGUGAGAGCAAUAACCCGGAGACGAUAUCUGAGACACGAUAUCGGGCCCUACGGGGCGCAGCAGGCGCGAAAACUUCACACUGUGCGAAAGCGCGAUGAGGGAAUCCCAAGUGUUUGCUCGUAAGAGUAAACUGUUUCUUUGUUUAAAACGCAGAGAGAGUAAGGGCUGGGUAAGACGGGUGCCAGCCGCCGCGGUAAUACCUGCAGCUCAAGUGGUGAUCAUUAUUAUUGGGCCUAAAACGUCCGUAGCCGGUUUAGUAAAUGCCUGGGUAAAUCGUGUAGCUUAACUAUACGACUUCCGGGUAGACUGCUAAACUUGAGACCGGGUGAGGCUAGAGGUACUCCUGGGGUAGAGGUGAAAUUCUGUAAUCCUAGGGGGACCACCAGUGGCGAAGGCGUCUAGCUAGAACGGGUCUGACGGUGAGGGACGAAGCCCUGGGGCACAAACCGGAUUAGAUACCCGGGUAGUCCAGGGUGUAAACGCUGCUUGCUUGAUGUUAGUUGGGCUCCGAGCCCAACUAGUGUCGGAGAGAAGUUGUUAAGCAAGCUGCCUGGGAAGUACGGUCGCAAGGCUGAAACUUAAAGGAAUUGGCGGGGGAGCACAGCAACGGGUGGAGCGUGCGGUUUAAUUGGAUUCAACGCCGGA